AAUGAACGCUGGCGGCAGGCCUAACACAUGCAAGUCGAGCGGAUGACGGGAGCUUGCUCCUUGAUUCAGCGGCGGACGGGUGAGUAAUGCCUAGGAAUCUGCCUGGUAGGGGGGGACAACGUUUCGAAAGGAACGCUAAUACCGCAUACGUCCUACGGGAGAAAGCAGGGGACCUUCGGGCCUUGCGCUAUCAGAUGAGCCUAGGUCGGAUUAGCUUGUUGGUGAGGUAAUGGCUCACCAAGGCGACGAUCCGUAACUGGUCUGAGAGGAUGAUCAGUCACACUGGAACUGAGACACGGUCCAGACUCCUACGGGAGGCAGCAGUGGGGAAUAUUGGACAAUGGGCGAAAGCCUGAUCCAGCCAUGCCGCGUGUGUGAAGAAGGUCUUCGGAUUGUAAAGCACUUUAAGUUGGGAGGAAGGGUUGUAGAUUAAUACUCUGCAAUUUUGACGUUACCGACAGAAUAAGCACCGGCUAACUCUGUGCCAGCCGCCGCCGUAAGAC
rnacentral:rRNA from 1 species